rnacentral:misc_RNA from 1 species
GUGAUUCCCACUGAUUCCGAAACAAUUAGGCAUCUAAAACAGGUUCAUGCGAGAACUUCCACCAUACAGAAUGUUCAGAGAGAUGUUGAAAAUAUAUAUGGGAAGUAUGCACCGUUUCAGUUCUUAGCUUAUUGGUCGGAGGUGUGGCACUUUUAUGAGGAACGGUUUGGUAAGCUUAGCGAGAUGCCCCACUCGGAAUAUAAACUUAUUACUGCCGCAAAUAUGAGACCGAAAAGAAAUGGCAAAUGCAAGAAGUUGAAGAUAGCCUCAACAGAAAAGCUUGGCGUGUAA